AACUAUCUAUAUAUUUUUUUUUGUGUCCUUAUUUAAAUCCCCAUUCUUGAUUCCAGACUAACUCUCAUAUAUAUACGUAAAUGUACGAAAGUUUGGCACGUCGAAUACGGAAACCCGGAAAUCUUUUCACCGUUGUCGUUUUUAUACUAUGACGCAAAAUCCAUGGACGCUCGUCUGCUGCUGAAUUCAUGUUUUAAAAGAAUGGACAAAGAUAGUCAGAUAGUUGAUACAAAGACCUUUGAUUUUUCAAACUGAUGGAUCAAAAAGUUAUUAUAAACAGAUAUAUUGAAAUGGCCGACUCAAAAUCAUGCUGUUAAUUAGGGCCCCCUGUUGUACAUGUACUUAGGAAUCGGACACCUCCAGAAGAUGAAAGAUCUACUUUACAUCUUUUUCAACGAAAGUACAAUUACUUUGAGAAGUAGGAGAAGCUAAGCAACAGGACAGAAUUCAUUUGAGGCAUUGCUUUCUAGAUUAUAUAGUGGAGUCAUAGAUUGUCCUAUUGAUUUAUGUGGAUAUGAGGAGCAGUAGUCAAUGAAUAAUUUUGUGAUGAGAGCAACUGUAUUCCAAGAACCUGAUGGCUGAUAAUGUAUUACAGGAUUUUAUCAUUCAAGCAACAUCUUAGAAGGAUAAGUGCAAAUGUAUGAAGGAAGCCUUGGGUACAAAUAGCAAUUACAGCAAUUACAUGCAGGAGAGAACUCUUAACAUUACUAACAGACAUGUAGUCAUUAUAUGGGAGUGGUGUAUUCAAGAAAUCUAAAACACAUGGAAUUAAAUAUCGUGUAUAUUUUUUCAACCACAAGUACUCUCAGAAUAUAAUACAAUUCAAAUUCAAAUUAUUGUGCCAACAUGACAAUUACAGUCUAAAAAUGGAAAAUGCAUGUUUUAAACUGAUUUUUAUAUAAAUAUUUGAAAUAACAAGAA